GUCAACUUUAGGUCCUCUGCAACCUCUGCCAUUGUCUUUCUGGAAUAUGACCUGGACUCUUCCAUUUCCAUGAACUUUGAAAAUGCUGACAUAAGCCUGACUGGGAAGGCAGUUUACACACCGAUCUGACCAUGGACAUUCAACACAUUAUUUCCCAUACCCUGAGUGACUCUCACCUCACCCUGAUUGUGGACAUGAUCAGCCCUGCCUUCACUGACAUGAACUUGCGUUAUGCCGUCCGCAAAGAUGGAAUCAGUA